AUUGAACGCUGGCGGCAGGCUUAACACAUGCAAGUCGAGCGGAGUGAUGGUGCUUGCACUAUCACUUAGCGGCGGACGGGUGAGUAAUGCUUAGGAAUCUGCCUAUUAGUGGGGGACAACAUCUCGAAAGGGAUGCUAAUACCGCAUACGUCCUACGGGAGAAAGCAGGGGAUCACUUGUGACCUUGCGCUAAUAGAUGAGCCUAGGUCGGAUUAGCUAGUUGGUGGGGUAAAGGCCUACCAAGGCGACGAUCUGUAGCGGGUCUGAGAGGAUGAUCCGUCACACUGGGACUGAGACACGGCCCAGACUCCUACGGGAGGCAGCAGUGGGGAAUAUUGGACAAUGGGGGGAACCCUGAUCCAGCCAUGCCGCGUGUGUGAAGAAGGCCUUAUGGUUGUAAAGCACUUUAAGCGAGGAGGAGGCUCUUUUGGUUAAUACCCAAGAUGAGUGGACGUUACUCGCAGAAUAAGCACCGGCUAACUCUGUGCCAGCAGCCGCCGUAA
rnacentral:rRNA from 1 species